rnacentral:rRNA from 1 species
CAUGGGGUGCAAACGUUGCUCGGAAUUAUUGGGCGUAAAGCGCGCGUAGGCGGUUACUCAAGUCGGAUGUGAAAGCCCUCGGCUUAACUGAGGAAGUGCACCCGAAACUGAGUAGCUAGAGUACUAAAGAGGGUCGCGGAAUUCCCGGUGUAGAGGUGAAAUUCGUAGAUAUCGGGAGGAACACCGGUGGCGAAGGCGGCGACCUGGGUAGAUACUGACGCUGAGGCGCGAAAGCGUGGGGGAGCAAACAGGAUUAGAUACCCUGGUAGUCCACGCCGUAAACGAUGGGUGCUAGAUGUUUCUGGUAUUGACCCCGGAGGCGUCGUAGCUAACGCGUUAAGCACCCCGCCUGGGGAGUACGGCCGCAAGGCUA